UCCGGUUUGGCACCGGCAGUCUCCCUAGAGUCCCCGGCAUGACCCGCUGGUAACUAGGGACGGGGGUUGCGCUCGUUGCGGGACUUAACCCAACAUCUCACGACACGAGCUGACGACAGCCAUGCACCACCUGUGAACCUGCCCCGAAGGGAAGGUGUGUUUCCACACCGGUCAGGUACAUGUCAAACCCAGGUAAGGUUCUUCGCGUUGCGUCGAAUUAAACCACAUGCUCCGCUGCUUGUGCGGGUCCCCGUCAAUUCCUUUGAGUUUUAAUCUUGCGACCGUACUCCCCAGGCGGUUCACUUAAUGCGUUAGCUGCGUCAGCGAGAAGUAAACUUCCCACCAACUAGUGAACAUCGUUUACGGUGUGGACUAC
rnacentral:misc_RNA from 1 species